rnacentral:rRNA from 1 species
CAGCAGCCGCGGUAAUACGUAGGGUGCGAGCGUUAAUCGGAAUUACUGGGCGUAAAGCGUGCGCAGGCGGUUGUGUAAGACAGGUGUGAAAUCCCCGGGCUUAACCUGGGAACUGCGCUUGUGACUGCACAGCUAGAGUAUGGCAGAGGGGGGUGGAAUUCCACGUGUAGCAGUGAAAUGCGUAGAGAUGUGGAGGAACACCGAUGGCGAAGGCAGCCCCCUGGGCCAAUACUGACGCUCAUGCACGAGAGCGUGGGGAGCAAACAGGAUUAGAUACCCCCGUAGUCCCUGUCUCUUAUAC